rnacentral:rRNA from 1 species
UACGUAGGGGGCAAGCGUUGUCCGGAUUUAUUGGGCGUAAAGCGCUCGCAGGUGGUGCGUCACGUCGUGCGUGAAAGACCCCGGCUCAACUGGGGAGGGUCGUGCGAUACGGGCGGACUGGAGGCCAGUAGGGGGAUGCGGAAUUCCGGGUGUAGUGGUGGAAUGCGUAGAGAUCCGGAGGAACACCAGCGGCGAAGGCGGCAUCCUGGACUGGUCCUGACACUCAGGAGCGAAAGCGUGGGGAGCGAUCCGGAUUAGAAACCCUAGUAGUCC